rnacentral:rRNA from 1 species
UACAGAGGGUGCAAGCGUUGUUCGGAAUUACUGGGCGUAAAGGGCGCGUAGGCGGCCUUCUAAGUCAGACGUGAAAUCCCCCGGCUUAACCUGGGAACUGCGUCUGAUACUGGAAGGCUUGAGUGCGGGAGAGGGAUGUGGAAUUCCAGGUGUAGCGGUGAAAUGCGUAGAUAUCUGGAGGAACACCGGUGGCGAAGGCGGCAUCCUGGACCGACACUGACGCUGAGGCGCGAAAGCUAGGGGAGCAAACGGG